rnacentral:lncRNA from 1 species
AUCCAUCCAAAGCAAGACGAAUCUAGACUAACAUUCUUAUAAUUAAGUUACAUGAGAAUAAUUAAAACAUCAUCUGAAAAUAAGAAAAAUGAAAGAAGUAAGAGAAAUCCACAUUCUUGGUUCAAAUCUUGAAACGAGGCUAUGAAUCUUUAAAAUUCUUUUAUAAUUUUCCUUGAAUUGAUAUAUAAACUUGAUCUUUGCCUCCAAAAUAUGAAGAAUACGAUGAAAUUUAGAUUGAAUGGAAAAUCAUUCCGUUCUGGUUAAGUUUUUUGGUAUUUAAAGAAUGUCAAAAAGAUUGCAUUGAAUUGUUACCGAAACAAAAAUAAGGAAAAUCAAAAUUUUCCCGUUUCUAUUAUGAGGCUUGCGCUUAGCUUCUUUAGGGGUGCCUAGGGAUGGCAAUCGGGUUCUUUGGCUCGGGGCGCUCGAGGCUCGGCUAGAGGCUCGGGUCGAGCCUCGUUUUUGAGAGUUGGCUCAAGGUGGAUCGACCUGUAUUUAAAUAAAUAAAUAAAGAGAGGAAAAAUUUGCUGCCAAACAGGUAGCAAAGAGUUAUAUUUAAAAAAAAUUCCAGAAAUUGAGCUCAGCCCUGUUUGGGCCAAAAAUAGCCCAGCUUAAAAAAGCUCAAACCCGAAAAUUUUGACUCACGAGUAGGCUCAAUUCGUUGACAUCCCUAAAGGUGCCAAAGAAGUGGUUGAGGCACACACCUAGCCUGGUUUCUACAAUCAAAUAGCUUUCAGUAUUUUUGUCAUAAUGUUAUCUCUCGAUAUCGAAUUGAAGUGAUUCAAUAUGUGUUGGAAAGCUAACUCAAAACGUUACAACUCUUUUUUAAAUAUAAUUUUUUAAUUUGAAUAUUUUCUUUGUUGAAAUAGGUUGCAAUUUGAAAUUGAAAAUCCAAAGCACAACAUUUUCGACUAGAAAAAAGGUUCCCACAGUUAUAUAAUGUGUUGUCCGGUCGUUGAUUAUAUAGAUUCUACAUAAAAAAAAAAAAAAAUUGAGUGCUUUCAUGUAUCAACUGUGCUAAUUUCUCCUCGUCACUUUCAUCUUCAUUGUAUUAAGGUGCACCUCUUCUUUGAUAAAUUUUGCCAAACUUAAUGUUGUCACAUAACAAAUUAUUUUGGUGCCAAUGCUUAAAAUUCAACCUAGUAAAUUUCUCGAGCUUUUUUCAAUCGUAUUAAGGAGUGGAGUAUCGGAAUUUCUAAUAAAAAAAUUAGAGAGAAACAAUAGAAAAAAAAAUAAACUAGAAAUUAAAAUUCAUCUUAAGAAAUUAACUUACACUUGAUGAUUUACCUGAAUGGAUUUGAACAAUGUAACAUGAUGAUCAACAUGAUUAGAAUGUUAAUUCGAGCCCUUCAACAUCACGAUGUGUCCGUAAGAUGAUUCUGCUCUCUUCUAUGAUACUUAAAAGAAUUUAGCAACCAUCUUUCAAAAUAGGACGAAUUUCAUCUCCUACGAAAGCAACAUGGCAAUCCGCAUGAAUUAUCAAGAGUUUUAAUGCACUCAAUGAAGUGUUUUAUACUUUGAAGAGCAGUAUCAAAAUAAAGAGAGGGAAGUAAUAUUCAAAGGAGAAAAUAUUCGCAAUGAAAAUAGUAAAAAUUUUCUGGCAACAAGGCUUGCUAUUUAAAGAUUUGUUCGUGGCUUUCGAAUUCU